UACGGAGGGUGCAAGCGUUGUUCGGAAUUAUUGGGCGUAAAGCGCGUGUAGGUGGUUGGGUAAGUCAGAUGUGAAAGCCUUCUGCUUAACAGAAGAAGUGCAUUUGAAACUACUCGGCUGGAGUACGGGAGAGGAGAGUGGAAUUCCCGGUGUAGAGGUGAAAUUCGUAGAUAUCGGGAGGAACACCAGUGGCGAAGGCGGCUCUCUGGUCCGAUACUGACACUGAGACGCGAAAGCGUGGGGAGCAAAUAGG
rnacentral:rRNA from 1 species